rnacentral:lncRNA from 1 species
UGAAAGAGGAAGUACCGAGCAGAGAGCAUAGAGGGGAGGGAUGAUGGAGAUGGGUGCAGAUUGUGGCAUCAGUAACAGAAGAAUAAACUCAGAGAGAACAAAACAGAAACAAGCCUGCUCUACCCAGCAGCCGCCUCUACAGAGCCCCUGCUGUCUGCCAGUCUGGCUGGAAUUAGCACACCGAUGUCUGUGCAACUCAGUGUCACCGCCACAGGAGGCUGAUGGGGAUGCAGUUUAGCUCCGGCUGCAGACAGCAGGCUGUUCCUGCCCCCAUCACCUCUCCACCACACCACAGCCUUUCCCUCUGGAUAAUCGGCUCCACCCUCACCUCAUCCAGGAAGCCUCAGAGGAGCUCCACCUUGCUUCGAUCUAUCAAACCCUUCAGUCAGUUCCUGUCUCCCAGCUUUUAUCUUUGCCACCCCUCUUCCUAAAUAUGUGACACUUAAUUAUGACUGUCUCAAACUGUGUGAGUGACUCAUGAAAAUGUUUAUGUAUUUCUAGCUUCUAUGUACUUACUGUAUUUACUUCCCCCGCCCGUAACAUAGUAGAUUCAGCACUGGGCUUGGACUUGAAUGCCCCGGGAAUAAAAAUCGGGAUAAUAAUAAUUAUAUUGCAGGGCUUUUUAAAAAUGAGCUGAUAUGUAAGUGGCACAGAGUGGGAGCUUGGUAAAUAUUAGUUGAAUCUGAAUCCUAGAAUGUAAAUUCUUCAG